GACGAACGCUGGCGGCGUGCUUAACACAUGCAAGUCGAACGGAAAGGCCCUGCUUUUGUGGGGUGCUCGAGUGGCGAACGGGUGAGUAACACGUGAGUAACCUGCCCUUGACUUUGGGAUAACUUCAGGAAACUGGGGCUAAUACCGGAUAGGAGCUCCUGCUGCAUGGUGGGGGUUGGAAAGUUUCGGCGGUUGGGGAUGGACUCGCGGCUUAUGAGCUUGUUGGUGGGGUAGUGGCUUACCAAGGCUUUGACGGGUAGCCGGCCUGAGAGGGUGACCGGCCACAUUGGGACUGAGAUACGGCCCAGACUCCUACGGGAGGCAGCAGUGGGGAAUAUUGCACAAUGGGCGGAAGCCUGAUGCAGCAACGCCGCGUGCGGGAUGACAGCCUUCGGGUUGUAAACCGCUUUCGCCUGUGACGAAGCGUGAGUGACGGUAAUGGGUAAAGAAGCACCGGCUAACUACGUG
rnacentral:rRNA from 1 species